GUGGCAUCUUUGUAUACACAAAAAAGGAGGAAAGGAGACAACAAUUUUGUGAUCUGUUUCUGGAGAUGUGGAGAAGCCGGAUUCCAUCAAGAAGAAGAUGCCCUUGAUGGUUUGCCAGAAGCACUCAGUUCUCAGGGGUAGCUUGCUUUCCCUCAUUAUCAGGAUUGUCCAGCAUUCUCAACCUCUUCUCCAGCCUCUGCUUCCAUUCUUCUCGAAGCCUGCGGAGAAGACACCACACACGCAAUUGAUUAGUGCAUUUGUUUCUAUAUCUGCUGGUCCAUUGAAGCUUUUGAGCUCAUCGCAGGUCUCGCAGCAGAAGACUUCCCUGCGCAUGUACUGGCUGUUCAUCCCUGCAAUGUGAAAGACAAAGCGUAGCCCAGCAAUUGCAAGUAGUAGCGCCCGACUGGGAUGUGCUUGGACCCAGGUGAGUUUGAAUUGAUACUUUUCUGUCAUCACACACUAAUGGAAUGACUCCAUUUUUCCCACUGCAGAUGAAGAUAAUCAUAAUGAUGUAAAAAGUAUUCUGGAAAACAGUUGAACAAAGAAAAAUCUGUAGCCCUUGAAGGUAAUCUGAUUCUGAAGCAGUUGACUUUUUUGUUGUC